UGUGUCCUGGCAAUAUCACAAGCACCAUUACUGAUGAUUGGUGAAAGUUAAAAUUGUCAAUAUCAAAUUUGACUUCUAUUUUGUCAUCAGUAUCAACAUAUUAAAAUUUGAAAAGCUUAGAUUGAAUGGUUUGUGAGUAAAUGCAACAACGUGAAUGGAAACACCAUUUUACGAUCUUUCAAGAACCAUAACUCCUGAACGGUAAAAGUCAAAAUCGUCAUUAUUAAACUUGACCUCUAUUUUGUCAUCAGUAACAACAUAUUAAAAUUUGAAAAGCUUUGGUUGAAUGGUUCAUGAGAAAAUGCACGGACACGACUGGAAACACCAUUU
rnacentral:lncRNA from 1 species